UCUCUCCCUUCUUUCUUCUUUCUUUCUUUCUUUCUUUCUUUCUUUCUUUCUUUCUUUCUUUCUUUCUUUCUUGUUUUUCGAGACAGGGUUUCUCUGUGUAGCUUUGGAGCCUAUCUUGGCACUUGCUCUGGAGACCAGGCUGGCCUCAAACUCACAGAGAUCUGUCUGCCUCUGCCUCCUGAGUGCUGGGAUUAAAGGCAUGCGCCACCAAUACCUGGCUCCUCUCUUCCCUUUCUAUACACUUCAUUGGUGGGAGAAUGUUGCUUUUAGGAUGUUUCCUCCCAUUUCUUCUUACCUAUUCACUGUUUGCAAAAAACCUCUCUUGGGUAGCUUGGAGAGGGGUGGGACCUCUAAUUGUCCUAGCCAAGCUGUGGGUUUUUUGGAAGGGGGUCUGUCCUCUAGUUCCUCAGGUACUUGGGGCACUGUUGGAGUUGAUGGGGAGACUGGUGUCUCCUCUGUCUUUUGAAUGGUUGGUUGGGUGAUCUGUGAUAAGAACUAGAGAGUGACCCACAAUGGGAAUAGGACUUGGGACCACCUUAAUGAGGAACAUGUGGUCUCCUUAUCUCCUGGGACACAAGUCAUCUCCAGCAUUCUAAAUAUUAGUAAGAUUUUAAUCAACCAUCCCCAGUUCCUGAGAGGGAAACUAAAUCUUUGAGAUUUCCUCAGUGAUAGCUAGAAGUGUCAUUAUUGUUCAUGUUGGAACCUCAGAGCACAGCAGGAUUUGUUAAGCUUUGACUCAUGAUGAAGGGCGAUCAGCCUGAGUGCCAGAAUGGGACAAGGCUAGACAUUGAGUUCAGUCGAGUGGCCCCUGAUCUCAACCAGUUAUACCUACACAGUGACCCUGACCAGAACUCUGGACACUAAUUUCUGCCAAACUUGCUGAUUGGUGAACACAUAUAUGUUGGUUUCUUUUUGGGUAGUUGGUGCUGGUUUGUGAACUCAUUCAUUUAUAGUCUCUGUGUCACUUUUGAGUUCUGGGGCUUGAACCCAGGGUUUUGUGGAUGUGAAGUGUGCACUGCUCUAUCACUGAGCUACAUCCCUAGCCCUUGAUUUGUACUUGUGAAUAAAUUGUAAUGAAUAAAUACAGUGUUUUUAUUUCCUGA
rnacentral:lncRNA from 1 species